CCAAUAGCGUAUAUUAAAGUUGCUGCAGUUAAAAAGCUCGUAGUUGAAUUUCAGGCCUGGCUGGAUGGUCCGUCCUUCGGGCGAGCACUGUCUGUGGUCGGGUCCUACCUUCUGGCGAAGCGUCAUGGCCUUAACCGGCCGUGGCGGGGAACCAGGACUUUUACUGUGAAAAAAUUAGAGUGUUCAAAGACGGCAUCUUGCUUGGAUACAUUAGCAUGGAAUCAUGGAAUAGGACAAUGGUUCUAUUUGUUGGUUUCUAGGACUGUCGUAAUGAUUAAUAGGGAUAGUUGGGGGCAUUAGUAUUCAAUUGUCAGAGGUGAAAUUCUUGGAUUUAUUGAAGACUAACUACUGCGAAAGCAUUUGCCAAGGAUGUUUUCAUUAAUCAAGAACGAAAGUUAGGGGAUCGAAGACGAUCAGAUACCGUCGUAGUCUUAACCAUAAACUAUGCCGACUAGGAAUCGGGCGAUGUUGACAAAAUGACGCGCUCGGCACCUCAUG
rnacentral:rRNA from 1 species